rnacentral:lncRNA from 1 species
UCAAAACCAACAUUAAGUUGCUCAUUUUGCAACUGAUGAGAAGAGACACAGCUAAAGAGUGGCCAAAAAUUAGAUAAAACAAAUCCGUAAAAUAAAAUACAACUAAUAAUGGAAUAGCAAGAAAGGUUAUCAAGAGGCUUGUCAACAAAAUUUGCUUAGAACACUAUCAUGAGGAGUGGAAGCACCAGAGCAUAGGAUGAAAACAAGUAAAAGACCGGAUUCUUGCCCUUCCAAGUUGUAAUAAAGUGG